UGGGGGAAUUUUGGACAAUGGGCGAAAGCCUGAUCCAGCAAUGCCGCGUGUGUGAAGAAGGCCUUCGGGUUGUAAAGCACUUUUGUCCGGAAAGAAAUCCUUGGCUCUAAUACAGUCGGGGGAUGACGGUACCGGAAGAAUAAGCACCGGCUAACUACGUGCCAGCAGCCGCGGUAAUACGUAGGGUGCAAGCGUUAAUCGGAAUUACUGGGCGUAAAGCGUGCGCAGGCGGUUUGCUAAGACCGAUGUGAAAUCCCGGGCUCAACCUGGGAACUGCAUUGGUGACUGGCAGGCUAGAGUAUGGCAGAGGGGGGUAGAAUUCCACGUGUAGCAGUGAAAUGCGUAGAGAUGUGGAGGAAUACCGAUGGCGAAGGCAGCCCCCUGGGCCAAUACUGACGCUCAUGCACGAAAGCGUGGGGGAGCAAACAGGAUUAGAUACCCUGGUAGUCCACGCCCUAAACGAUGUCAACUAGUUGUUGGGGAUUCAUUUCCUUAGUAACGUAGCUAACGCGUGAAGUUGACCGCCUGGGGAGUACGGUCGCAAGAUUAAAACUUAAAGGAAUUGACGGGGUCAUAGCUG
rnacentral:rRNA from 1 species